rnacentral:rRNA from 1 species
GUCUUAGUUCGUGGAGUGAUCUGUCUGCUUAAUUGCGUUUCAAAUUUUAUUGUUGAGUACCAGGUCCUAAGAGUUUCAAGCAAAUCUGUCUCUGAGUGUGAACUGUAUGUCUUCGGAUAUGCGACUAUCGCUCUAGACAACUAUGAUCUGCUUGUAGCCUCUGGUACUCUUUUGAACGCAACGGACGUGAUUGCAACCCCUUGUUGAGUUUGCUUCUCUUAGGAACUCUACGUCUGCUGAACCACCUACCUUAGCGGGUAGGUGGUGAGGUGGAUAAACUCGGGGGACUGCUGACUAUAACCAUUUCUCAAAACAGAGGAAGGUUGCGGCAAUAACAGGUCUGUGAUGCCCUCAGAUGUCCCGGGCUGCACACGUGCUACAAUGAGUAGCGCAGUGUGCACAUUUUGAAGAGUGAUAGGUGCUGGGGAUUGUAUAUUUCAUGGGCUCGUCCUGGUAACCAACCGCCCCCAGCAUCUAUCAACCUUCCCUUUACAGGGUGGGUAACCUCUUCGAAAUGCUGGUUUGAUUCUCUUAGUGUUUGUCAUUUUAUUCCUCGUCGCAGCUGCUCUAGGACAUAGUGAACACUGUAAAGUGAUUCCCGUCUUAGGCUUGUGACGCGUGCUUUUCCUGGUUGACUC